UACAGAGGUCUCAAGCGUUGUUCGGAUUCAUUGGGCGUAAAGGGUGUGUAGGUGGCGCCGUAAGUCGGGUGUGAAAUUUCGGAGCUUAACUCCGAAACUGCAUUCGAUACUGCGGUGCUUGAGGACUGGAGAGGAGACUGGAAUUCAUGGUGUAGCAGUGAAAUGCGUAGAGAUCAUGAGGAAGACCAGUGGCGAAGGCGGGUCUCUGGACAGUUCCUGACACUGAGACACGAAGGCCAGGGGAGCAACGGG
rnacentral:rRNA from 1 species